UGCCAGCCGCCGCGGUAACACGUACUGUGCGAACGUUAUUCGGAAUCACUUGGCGUAAAGCGCGUGUAGGCGGUUCGUUAAGUCUGAUGUGAAAGCCCGGGGCUCAACCCCGGAAGUGCAUUGGAAACUGGCGAACUUGAGUACGGGAGAGGAAAGUGGAAUUCCGAGUGUAGGGGUGAAAUCCGUAGAUAUUCGGAGGAACACCAGUGGCGAAGGCGACUUCCUGGGCCAAUACUGACGCUGAGGUGCGAAAGCGUGGGGAGCAAACAGGAUUAGAUA
rnacentral:rRNA from 1 species